AUGGUCCUGAUUUUCCUGGCAGCUCUGGUGGGACUGGCAUAUUUUGGUCAUGCACAGAAGGACUCUGUGCUCCAAUUCCCUCCAGAAAGGACCAUCCAGGCAGGAUACGACACAACACUGCACUGCAAUUUCUCCACCAACUAUUCCGGUGCCUUCACCUACUGGUACCAGCAGCUCCCAAAGCAGUCCCCUCAGAUGCUGUUGUGGGUGAGCAAAUACAAAGCUCAUGUGGAUUCAGGGAGGUUCUCCUCCAUGCUGUCUGCAGAGGACUCCCAGGUGCUUCUGCAUAUGCGCGAUGCCGAGCUCCAGGACAACGCUCUCUACCUCUGCGCACUGAACCCACAUCUGUGCCCUCAGUGUGCAGCACUGCACAAGAAGGGGAGGGUGUACCCUGGGGAGUGA